rnacentral:rRNA from 1 species
UACGUAGGGGGCGAGCGUUGUCCGGAUUUACUGGGCGUAAAGAGCGCGCAGGCGGUCGAUUUAGUCGUGUGUGAAAGCCCCCGGCUCAACUGGGGAGGGUCACGCGAUACUGAUCGACUCGAAGGCAGGAGAGGGUAGUGGAAUUCCCGGUGUAGUGGUGAAAUGCGUAGAUAUCGGGAGGAACACCAGUGGCGAAGGCGACUACCUGGCCUGUUCUUGACGCUGAGGCGCAAAAGCUAGGGGAGCAAACGGG